AGUAAAGAAAAUGAAAAUAGAAAUUUACACACGAAAAGAAAAAAAAUCCAGAAAUUGAGGAGUGCGAAUCGAAGCUUACCCUAGGAUCUUUGCCAAGCGAUUAGCACAGAAGUAUCCAUAAAGAAGCGAAGGAACUAAAUUAAGAAAUAUACUAUGUAUUUUCAUCAUAAUGCCAGCAUGCAUCUAAUUGCAGAAUCUAACUACCAAUCAGUACACAAAUGAGAAUUGCUUCUUAAUUAAGGAAACACACUUAAAGUCUUCAUUUGUACCAUCUGACUAGAUACUAAACAAAUCGACAGUUCUGUUCAACGUCAUUCAACAAAUUACUUUGAGAACUUACCAAAUCAGAGACAUAUUGCGAGCAAACAACAUGAAAACAGACUUGUCAAACAAUCAUACUAUUCUUUAGGAGUGGCGAGCAAAGCCGGCCGGAAAACAGCUGCAGCAGGAGGAGGAGAAGGCCAAAGUGGUGAGUAUGUUUUUAAAGGAAAGGGGGGAUUAGGGUUAGGGUUUUCACCGAAGAGGAGGUAGCGACAGAACAUCCAGCGGCGGCAACAAGGUCCAAUCGAGAGGUCGGCGACAACGAUGACGACGACAAUGAUGACGAUGACGACGAUGACGACGACAACGAUGAUGAUAACGACGACGAGAGGAGCUCAAAUCAGAGGAGCUCGAAUCAGGGAAGAGAGCUCCGACGAUGAUGAACUAGGGCUUUUAGGGGAGAGAAUAAGCGGCGAGAGAGCUCCGACGAUGACGGCGACGAGAGGAGGAGGGCGGUGCUAGUUUUGGCAAGAGGAAGGGAGGGAGGGAGGGAGGCAGAGAGGGAGAGAGAUUGAAUUUUGUUAAUUUGGGGGAAAACAAAAUUUUGGGGUGUGGGGCGGGCUCCCUCCGUUUUUUUAGGAAAAAACCGAAUUGUGCCAACAGGUGAAACCGUUGGUGCUCAGAAAACUACUCCCAACGGUUCCUACCACCCAUUGGGGAUGGACCUAUUUGUAUUAGUGAUUAUUCACUUUUGUUUGAAUUUGUUUUUUUUUUGUUGUUUCGGUGAUCUAUGUUAGUUUUAUUCUAAGUUAUAGUGAGUUUGUGUUAUUUGCUUUGAGAUUAAUUGGCUAUUUUCCAUUAAUUGGCUAUUUUCCUUUGAUGAUUGCCGGAGAGAGAUGACAGGGGUUUUAGUGAAGUCCUUCAAACAAAAAUAAGGAAGUAGAAGUUUCGAGGAUCAAUGGAAAUAUCUUUAGAGGAUUCAGGAUAUUACGAGGCCAACUACUGAGCAAUGCCCCAUGUUACUUUAUUGUUUUGUAUAUUGUGAUUUUAUUCAAAAUUAAGGGCUACAUUGUAUGAAGUUACAUGAAUUUUCUUUUUAUUGUUUUAAAAUUAUUGUUGAUUCAUAUUUGAUUAAAACUUAUUAUAUUUAAUAUCUGAAAGUAUUUAAACUCA